rnacentral:tRNA from 1 species
GGACCGUUGGUGAAGUGGUUAUCAUGCUUGCCUUCCAAGCAAGCGGCUCGGGUUCGAUUCCCGAACGGUGUA